ACAAUUUGGCUUUUCUUCAACUGUCGAAUUAAUCUUUCGCCUUAUACUAAAGAUUUCCAUGGAGAGGCGCACUUUAAUGAGUCUAUAAGAAUAUAUGUAUUUGUAAGUCAGCCACUCACGGU